CUACGGGGUGCAGCAGUCGCGAAAACUUCACAAUGGAGGCAACUCCGAUGAGGGAAUUCCUAGUGCCAAUGCAUUUUGUGUUGGCUUUUCUUCAGCGUAGAUAACUGAUGGAAUAAGGGCUGGGUAAGACGGGUGCCAGCCGCCGCGGUAAUACCCGCAGCCCAAGUGGUGGUCGAUAUUAUUGAGUCUAAAACGUUCGUAGCCGGUUCAAUAAAUCUCUGGGUAAAUCGGAGGGCUUAACCUUCCGAAUUCCGGAGAGACUGUUGAACUUGGGACCGGGAGAGGCAAGAGGUACUUCUGGGGUAGGGGUAAAAUCCUGUAAUCCUAGAAGGACCACCGGUGGCGAAGGCGUCUUGCUAGAACGGAUCCGACGGUGAGGGACGAAGCCCUGGGUCGCAAACGGGAUUAGAUACCCCGGUAGUCCAGGGUGUAAACGCUGCAGACUUGGUGUUGGGAACCCUUCGGGGGUGCUCAGUGCCGGAGAGAAGUUGUUAAGUCUGCUACUUGGGGAGUACGUCCGCAAGGAUGAAACUUAAAGGAAUUGGCGGGGGAGCACCGCAACGGGAGGAGCGUGCGGUUUAAUUGGAUUCAACACCGGAAAACUCACCAGCAGCGACUGUUACAUGAAAGUCAGGUUGAUGACCUUACUAGAUUUUCAGAGAGGUAGUG
rnacentral:rRNA from 1 species